rnacentral:lncRNA from 1 species
AUGAAUAAAAAUGAUGAAGGAUCUGUAGAGGAGUUUGCAGAGGAUAACUUAGAGAUGAAGAUUACAGAUCUGAAACGCAAAUUUGAGAAGUUUGGAGAAACGGUUUCAGAGAGAGUGAGAGUUUUCUGGGCUACGGGUUUAUGUUUAUAUAUGGAUGCAAGGUUUGGUCUUUAUAAUGAGAAACAUGAAGCAUGGUGUAAAGCUGGAAUAGUUGAAGAGAAAUGGUGCUUCAACACUUAG